GACGUAGGGUGCAAGCGUUGUCCGGAUUUACUGGGCGUAAAGCGCGCGUAGGCGGCUCGUUAAGUGUGAAGUGAAAUCCCCGGGCUCAACCUGGGAACUGCAUUUGUGACUGUAGAGCUGGAGUACGGCAGAGGGGGAUGGAAUUCCGCGUGUAGCAGUGAAAUGCGUAGAUAUGCGGAGGAACACCGAUGGCGAAGGCAAUCCCCUGGGCCUGUACUGACGCUCAUGCACGAAAGCGUGGGGAGCAAACAGG
rnacentral:rRNA from 1 species